UUCAUAUCAAAUGCAUCAGGUGCUGAAUGAAUAAGUAACUUAUUCGGCCAAAAAGGGAAGAUCGGUGAAAUUCCGGCACGGUCCCGCCACUGUAAUGGGGAGCGACUUAUCGUCCACUGUUUAGAAUGAAAUGGGAAGGGAUAAGAAGCAAUGAACCUAAGUCAGGAUACCUGCCUGUUGUAUGCGCUUGUA
rnacentral:ncRNA from 2 species